rnacentral:rRNA from 1 species
CGCUGGCGGCGUGCCUAAUACAUGCAAGUCGAGCGAAUCGAUGGGAGCUUGCUCCCUGAGAUUAGCGGCGGACGGGUGAGUAACACGUGGGCAACCUGCCUAUAAGACUGGGAUAACUUCGGGAAACCGGAGCUAAUACCGGAUACGUUCUUUUCUCGCAUGAGAGAAGAUGGAAAGACGGUUUACGCUGUCACUUAUAGAUGGGCCCGCGGCGCAUUAGCUAGUUGGUGAGGUAAUGGCUCACCAAGGCGACGAUGCGUAGCCGACCUGAGAGGGUGAUCGGCCACACUGGGACUGAGACACGGCCCAGACUCCUACGGGAGGCAGCAGUAGGGAAUCUUCCGCAAUGGACGAAAGUCUGACGGAGCAACGCCGCGUGAACGAAGAAGGCCUUCGGGUCGUAAAGUUCUGUUGUUAGGGAAGAACAAGUACCAGAGUAACUGCUGGUACC